AUGGCUCAGAACGAACGCUGGUGGCGUGUCUUAUACAUGCAAGUCGAGCGAGGCAGCAAUGCCGAGCGGCGAACGGGUGAGUAACGCGUAAGCAAUCUGCCCCAUAUCAGGAAAUACCCGUGCCAACGCGCGGUUAAUGUCCAGGAGAGUGGCCCUCUGCAUGGAGGGUUGACUAGAGAUUUAUCGGUAUGGGAUGAGCUUGCGUCCGAUUAGCUAGUUGGCGGGGCAACGGCCCACCAAGGCGACGAUCGGUAGCCGGCCUGAGAGGGUGAUCGGCCACAUUGGGACUGAGAUACGGCCCAGACUCCUACGGGAGGCAGCAGUAGGGAAUAUUGCACAAUGGGGGAAACCCUGAUGCAGCAACGCCACGUGUGGGAAGAAGCAUUUCGGUGUGUAAACCACUGUCAUGAGGGAAUAAGGCCCGCCUUCGGGCGGGAUUGAAUGUACCUUGAGAGGAAGCACCGGCAAACUUCGUGCCAGCCGCUGC
rnacentral:rRNA from 1 species